UACGAAGGGGGCUAGCGUUGCUCGGAAUCACUGGGCGUAAAGGGCGCGUAGGCGGCCUUCUAAGUCGAACGUGAAAUCCCCGGGCUCAACCCGGGAACUGCGUCCGAUACUGGAAGGCUUGAAUCCGGGAGAGGGAUGCGGAAUUCCAGGUGUAGCGGUGAAAUGCGUAGAUAUCUGGAGGAACACCGGUGGCGAAGGCGGCAUCCUGGACCGGUAUUGACGCUGAGGCGCGAAAGCCAGGGGAGCAAACGGG
rnacentral:rRNA from 1 species